rnacentral:rRNA from 1 species
CACGUAGUUAGCCGUGGCUUUCUGGUUAGAUACCGUCAAGGCGCUAACAGUUACUCUAGCACUUGUUCUUCUCUAACAACAGAGUUUUACGAUCCGAAAACCUUCUUCACUCACGCGGCGUUGCUCCGUCAGACUUGCGUCCAUUGCGGAAGAUUCCCUACUGCUGCCUCCCGUAGGAGUUUGGGCCGUGUCUCAGUCCCAAUGUGGCCGAUCACCCUCUCAGGUCGGCUAUGCAUCACGGCCUUGGUGAGCCGUUACCUCACCAACUAGCUAAUGCACCGCGGGUCCAUCCAUCAGCAGAAGCUUGCGCCUCUUUUCCUCCUUCAACCAUGCGGUUAAAGGACCUAUGCGGUUUUAGCAUCCGUUUCCGAAUGUUAUCCCCCUCUGAUGGGCAGGUUACCCACGUGUUACUCACCCGUUCGCCACUAGAUUGACCAGUGCAAGCACCGGUCGCUCUCGUUCGACUUGCAUGUAUUAGGCACGCCGCCAGCGUUCGU